UUUGUAAUUAUAAUAUAUUCUAAAAAGAAAAACAGUGAACCGCUUGACGCUGAAUUCAACUGUAAAAUAUUGUUGUCCAAAGGACGGCGGACAUUUACAAAGCAGUGUUCUGAUGUUAAUUAAAAUAAUAUAUCUACAUAGUUUACGGGGGGGGUUUUUUUUCCCCUGUCUUUUAUCCCGGACUUAUUAUUAUAUCGGUUUUUUCAUUGAAUCGAUUGUCGCGUAUACCUACUCGUAACUCGUUCUAUAAGUCUUCCACGAUCGCAUCUAGAAUAUUAUAAUAUAAUGUAAUGUAC